rnacentral:rRNA from 1 species
UCAAGAAACUUCCACAAUGGGCGAAAGCCUGAUGGAGCGACGUCGCGUGAUGGACGAAGUGCUUCGGCACGUAAACAUCUUUUAUGUGGGAUGAAAUUAUUGACAGUACCACAUGAAUAAGGGGCUCCUAACUCUGUGCCAGCAGGAGCGGUAAUACAGAGGCCCCAAGCGUUAUCCGGAAUCACUGGGCGUAAAGGGUGUCGAGGCGGUUGUAUUAGUCGUUCGUAAAAUCUACGAGCUUAACUUGUAGGCGGCGAACGAAACGGUACGACUUGAGGUUUGGAGAGGUGCGUGGAACUCACGGUGUAGGGGUGAAAUCCGUUGAUAUCGUGGGGAACACCAAAGGCGAAGGCAGCGCACUGGCCAAAAUCUGACGCUCACACACGGAAGCUAGGGUAGCGAAGAGGAUUAGAUACCCUUGUAGUCCCUGAGCGGGCUGGCAAGGCGCAU